GAAAAGGGCCCCUGGUCGCUCCGCCCCAGGGGCGACGCGGGCGGCGAUUCAAGCUGCGCCGCCCCCUUCCUUCCCCUGCUCUCCCUAGCCUCGCCGCCGCCAGAGCAGCCGCCGGCAAAGCCGGGCGGAGGCAAGGAAGGCGGCGGCGGGGCUUCCCAUCUCCCUCGCUCGUGGUCAAGGCGGCUGGGGCGUCG
rnacentral:sRNA from 1 species